AUUGAACGCUGGCGGCAGGCCUAACACAUGCAAGUCGGACGGUAGCACAGAGGAGCUUGCUCCUCGGGUGACGAGUGGCGGACGGGUGAGUAAUGUCUGGGGAUCUGCCCGAUAGAGGGGGAUAACCACUGGAGACGGUGGCUAAUACCGCAUAACGUCGCAAGACCAAAGAGGGGGACCUGCGGGCCUCUCACUAUCGGAUGAACCCAGAUGGGAUUAGCUAGUAGGCGGGGUAACGGCCCACCUAGGCGACGAUCCCUAGCUGGUCUGAGAGGAUGACCAGCCACACUGGAACUGAGACACGGUCCAGACUCCUACGGGAGGCAGCAGUGGGGAAUAUUGCACAAUGGGCGCAAGCCUGAUGCAGCCAUGCCGCGUGUAUGAAGAAGGCCUUCGGGUUGUAAAGUACUUUCAGCGGGGAGGAAGGCGAUGUGGUUAAUAACCGCAUUGAUUGACGUUACCCGCAGAAGAAGCACCGGCUAACUCCGUGCCAGCCGCCGCCGUAA
rnacentral:rRNA from 1 species